rnacentral:rRNA from 1 species
GACGGGGGCCCGCACAAGCGGUGGAGCAUGUGGUUUAAUUCGAUGCAACGCGAAGAACCUUACCUACUCUUGACAUCCAGAGAACUUUCCAGAGAUGGAUUGGUGCCUUCGGGAACUCUGAGACAGGUGCUGCAUGGCUGUCGUCAGCUCGUGUUGUGAAAUGUUGGGUUAAGUCCCGCAACGAGCGCAACCCUUAUCCUUUGUUGCCAGCGGUUAGGCCGGGAACUCAAAGGAGACUGCCAGUGAUAAACUGGAGGAAGGUGGGGAUGACGUCAAGUCAUCAUGGCCCUUACGAGUAGGGCUACACACGUGCUACAAUGGCGCAUACAAAGAGAAGCGACCUCGCGAGAGCAAGCGGACCUCAUAAAGUGCGUCGUAGUCCGGAUUGGAGUCUGCAACUCGACUCCAUGAAGUCGGAAUCGCUAUAAUCGUAGAUCAGAUGCUANCGUAA